rnacentral:rRNA from 1 species
UCCAUGAGACCUCCUAUGUUUGAGGGUAUCCACUAUAAGAGGUGGCGCGUGAGAGCAGUCUUAUGGUUUCAAACCAUGAGUUGCUAUGACGCCACGCUUGGCAAACCUGAAGGAGAGCUUGAUGCUCAACAAGCACAAGCUUUUCAGAAAAUGGAUACUCUGUUUAAGGCUGCUCUCUUGAGUGUUCUUGGAGAGAACAUAGUUGAUGCUUAUGCGUCAAUUGAUAAUGGAAAAGAUAUGUGGGAUGCACUCGAGGCCAAGUUUGGGGUCUCGGAUGCUGGCACUGAGCUGUACAUCAUGGAGCAAUUCUAUGAUUACAGGAUGACUGAAGAGCGCUCCGUGGUUGAGCAAGCUCAUGAGAUACAGUCGUUUGCUAGAGAACUUGAGCACUUCAAUUGUAUCCUACCGGACAAGUUUGUUGCCGGGGGUAUCAUCACUAAGCUUCCUCCUUCGUGGAGGAACUUUGCUACCUUGCUGAAGCAUAAGAGACAGGAGUUUUCCGUCCCGGAUCUCAUUGGCACUCUUGAUGUGGAAGAAAAGGCGAGAGCAAAGGACACAUGUGCUCGAGGUAUUGAGGGAGGAUCUAGUGCCAAUGUGGUACAGAAGCAGAACUUCCAGCCCCACAAGUUCAAGAACAAGGGCAAGUUUGAUGGUAAAGCAAAGUUUGAUGGGAAGAACAAGGCUAUGCAACACACGAACUUCAAGAAGAAGAAUGGCAAGAAGAAAGGUGCUUGUCAUGUGUGUGGAGAUCCUGAUCAUUGGGCUCCUAGUUGCCCCAAUCGAUAUGACAAGCGUCAUCCUGGGAAAGGCGGCAAGACCGCUAAUGUUGUUAUCGGAGACAUUGACAUGAAGGAUGCUGGGUAUGGUAUAUUUCCCACUAUUCUUUCAGUAUGUCAUUCUCCUGAUUGGUUAAUUGACACGGGUGCUAAUGUGCAUGUAUGCGGUGAUAUUACCAUGUUUUCG